AUUGGGAGGAUAAUAAAACAAGAAGGUGAGAAGAUAAUUAAAACAGAUAUCCAUUUCUGUAUCAAUUUCAAGGAUCAAAAAAUUUCCAAUCCAUCCAAAAAAUAUUUCUCCACAAAAGUUUUGAGGGAAAAAAUUGAAGAGAGAUGUUUGCCCGUACGUCCCUAGACCUCUCCAACCUCCGCGCCACCACACCGUCCUCCGCCGCUCCAGAACCGAAGCCCAAACAGAUCCAAAGCAACCAUUCCGCCUCCGACCCUCACUCCGAGCCACAGCUUCGGAAGCUCAAGGGCAGCGCCCAGCUGAACCGCUGGUCCAGGGCCCGCGCCGUGCGGUCCGGCCGGAAACUGGACCGCCAAAACCACCGCGCCGCGACAGCGGUGGUGGAGGAGAGGCAAUCGGGGGAGGGCACGUGGCGGAAUUCUCCUGUGGCCGCCGUUGGCGGCAGUGAGGAGAAGGAGGAGGAGGAUGAGGCAGCAGUGUUGGCGAAGUCCAUUUAUAUGGUGUCGGAUGGAACUGGGUGGACGGUGGAGCACUCUGUUACCGCUGCGUUGGGGCAGUUCGACCACUGCUUGGUUGAUCGGGGUUGUCCCGUUAAUACCCACUUGUUUUCAGGGAUUGAUGAUUCAGAACGGCUAUUGAAGAUUAUAAAGCAAGCAGCCAAAGAAGGCUCAAUGCUGGUGUACACUUUGGCUGAGACUUCCAUGGCUGAAGCUGCCAAACAAGCUUGCAGGAUGUGGGGCGUUCCAUCCACCGAUAUACUUGGCCCCAUUACCGAGGCUGUUGCUUCUCAUCUAGGAGUCUUGCCAUCUGGUGUCCCUCGAGGGGCCCCGGGCAGGAGUUCCCAUCUUACGGAAGAAUACUUCCAACGGAUUGAAGCUAUUGAAUUUACCAUAAAGCAAGAUGAUGGGGCCCUUCCUCAAAACCUCCAUAAAGCUGACAUUAUUCUUGCUGGUGUCUCUCGUACUGGAAAAACACCACUGUCAACUUAUUUGGCUCACAAGGGAUAUAAAGUGGCCAAUAUCCCAAUUGUGAUGGGCGUAGGAGUGCCGAAGACACUUUUUGAAGUAGACCCAGAGAAGGUUUUUGGUUUGACUAUAAAUCCAGUAGUCCUCCAAACAAUUAGAAGAGCUAGAGCUAGGAGCUUGGGCUUUAGUGAGGAAAUGAGGAGUAACUAUUCAGAGAUGGACCACGUUAGAGAAGAAUUAGAAUUUGCUCGCAAGAUUUUUGCAAAUAAUCCCAGCUGGCCAGUGAUUGAGGUCACAGGUAAGGCAAUUGAAGAAACAGCAGCAGUUGUAUUGAGGCUUUACCAUGAUCGGAAGAACAAAUGUUCAAUGCCGAGGAUUUCAAAGCGGUACUAGAAAUGUUACAUAAAACUGCACUCAUAGAAGUACGAAGAAAGUGGCAAAGUCUGGAACAAUCAAAUAUUCCCAAAUGCAGUAGGGUGCCAAUUUGGGUUAUCUGGCUCAGAAGAUUCAAGUUUUUGAUGAAGAGAGAUUGAGUUCAGAGAUCAUUUGUCGACCUAUAUCUGGGAGAGAGUGGAUUGCCUUUGCUUUGCUUGUGAUGCAUGGACAUAGGCCUCAUUGAUGCACUUUCCUUUCUUAAGCUUACAUGAAGGGCACACAACAAAAACUGCAGUUGGAUAUAAGAAGAGCACACUGAAUUGAAGGCAUGGAGAAGGGAAAAGGAAGCAAAAAGUGACAGAGUUACACAAACACAAAAGGUGAGACAUUUUUUUGAGACAUCUUCCAUUUGACAUAUUCGUGAAGAUUCCCUAUCUUUGUCAUGCUGCACUAUGUCCUCGUCUUCAAAUCAUAUUAAAGUACGUGAUCUGUAGAUAAAAAAUCAACUCUAUUCUGCCGCUACGGUAAUGGGAGCUGUAUUGCCUUUCAGUGUCUCAAUAUCCCUUUCAAGUUUGUCAUAGUGGAAGAUCGACUCUGCUUUUUCUUUCUCAUGCAACCUCUUCUUUUUGUCGCGAUAUUCCUAUUAAAGAAAGCCACUUAGUCUGUGAAAGGGACUUAGACUUUAAUUAAUCAAGUUAUGUCCAUGCCUGUUUCUUUCUUCUGCUAUAGGCUGCAAGCAUUACUAAUUCGGAAUUAGCUGCUACAAAAAUUGACAGAACGGCUAAACCGGCCCGAACUUCUGUCCCAAGGCAGCACUUCUGUUUCUGUUUUUCGCUUAUUCAGAUGCAGCAGCUCUUAUCCCCAUUACCACUCCAGAGCAUUGUCAUCUCCACUUAGUUUUCCCAUCGUAAGUGUGAAGUAAAUCAGUAAUAGAGUUCCCAUGCUUGACCUGCCAGAAAUGA